GAAAAUGGAAUAAAUGGUGUAUGUAGUUAGAAUGAUUCGAAUAAUGAUGUUUUGUUUUCUUUUUGUUUCCUUUAUUUUCAUUUCCUGUUUCUUCGUCAUUAUUAUUCCCAUUGUCGAACGAUGACAACGAGAUGCUUCACGAGAGAAUAGUGUACACAAUCAAUCAUCCUCUGUACGCUAUCCUACUAUUCUCUGCUGUUCUGUAGUCCAGACAGAGGCCGAGCAAAAAGGGAUCUUUGUCACCAAAUAAUGGAUUAGUAUCAUCAACAUGAUGCAAGUAACAAAAUAUUGGUAAUUGUAUGUCAUCAACAACACAGUUGAUAAAAUGAUCAGUAGCACG
rnacentral:ribozyme from 14 species